CCUGGGCAGACACACGCAAUGAAGCUCCGACCCAGGAUGGACAUAGGCUAGAAUCUUCCCGUGUGGCCACUGUCAUCACCAACACUGCCAACCACUAGCAACCAGCACCACCAUCUCUACCACCACCUUAGCUGUGGACCACCCUUAACUUUACCAUCACCACGUCAUCUACCAUCACUACCAUCGUCAUAACCACAACCGUCAGCAUUUCCCAAAGCAGCGAAGGCAACUGCACUGUGAUCACCAACGACUCUAACUCCAUCACCGGUCAGAAGUUACGCUGAUUGAAACCAGCUCAUCCCAGAACACAAGGCCAACAGCAGAGUCCCACGCAAUGCCACAGUACUGGAAGGUCAGCACCAAGGCCACUUGUCUGAAAACCAGUUUCUCCUUGCCAGCCUGCACCUUACAGCCUCUGCCACAGUGACCAGUGGGCUUACCCUGGGGAUGGGGUAUCCAGCAUCCAGAGGCCAGGGAGGGGGCCUGCAGCACUACAGCUAGACAUAUGGGCAGAAGCAGAGCAAGGUCUGGAGAGACGGCUCAGCAGUUAAGGACACUUGUGCCUCUGGCAGAGGACAAGGUUUGGUUCCUUCCACCCUUUUGGUGGCUUACAACUAGCUGUAACUCCAGUUCCAGAGACUCUGACGCCCUCUUCUGUCCUCUGAAGGCACUGUCUGCAUACGAUGCACAAACAAGCAUGCAGGCAAACGCCCACACAAAUAAAAUUU